rnacentral:rRNA from 1 species
CCUACGGGAGGCAGCAGUGAGGAAUAUUGGUCAAUGGACGAGAGUCUGAACCAGCCAAGUAGCGUGAAGGAUGACUGCCCUAUGGGUUGUAAACUUCUUUUAUAUGGGAAUAAAAUGUUCCACGUGUGGGGUUUUGUAUGUACCAUAUGAAUAAGCAUCGGCUAACUCCGUGCCAGCAGCCGCGGUAAUACGGAGGAUCCGAGCGUUAUCCGGAUUUAUUGGGUUUAAAGGGAGCGUAGGUGGAUGGUUAAGUCAGUUGUGAAAGUUUGAGGCUCAACCGUAAAAUGGCAGUUGAAACUGGCAGUAUGGAUUACAGUAGAGGUGGGCGGAAGUGGUGGUGAAGCGGUGAAAGGCUGAGAUAUCACGAAGAAUCC